rnacentral:rRNA from 1 species
GAUGAACGUUGGCGGCGUGCCUAAUACAUGCAAGUCGAGCGAACGGACGAGAAGCUUGCUUUUCUGAUGUUAGCGGCGGACGGGUGAGUAACACGUGGAUAACCUACCUAUAAGACUGGGAUAGCUUCGGGAAACCGGAGCUAAUACCGGAUAAUAUUUUGAACCGCAUGGUUCAAAAGUGAAAGACGGUCUUGCUGUCACUUAUAGAUGGAUCCGCGCUGCAUUAGCUAGUUGGUAAGGUAACGGCUUACCAAGGCAACGAUGCAUAGCCGACCUGAGAGGGUGAUCGGCCACACUGGAACUGAGACACGGUCCAGACUCCUACGGGAGGCAGCAGUAGGGAAUCUUCCGCAAUGGGCGAAAGCCUGACGGAGCAACGCCGCGUGAGUGAUGAAGGUCUUCGGAUCGUAAAACUCUGUUAUUAGGGAAGAACAUAUGUGUAAGUAACUGUGCACAUCUUGACGGUACCUAAUCAGAAAGCCACGGCUAACUACGUG